rnacentral:rRNA from 1 species
GACGAACGCUGGCGGCGUGCUUAACACAUGCAAGUCGAACGGAAAGGCCCUGCUUUUGUGGGGUGCUCGAGUGGCGAACGGGUGAGUAACACGUGAGUAACCUGCCCUUGACUUUGGGAUAACUUCAGGAAACUGGGGCUAAUACCGAAUAGGAGCACAUGCUGCAUGGUGGGGGCGGGAAAGUUUCGGCGGUUGGGAAUGGACUCGCGGCCCAUUAGCUAGUUGGUAGGGUAAAAGCCUACCAAGGCGACGAUGGGUAGCCGGCCUGAGAGGGUGAACGGCCACAUUGGAACUGAGAAACGGUCCAAACUCCUACGGGAGGCAGCAGUGGGGAAUAUUGCACAAGGGAGGGAACUCUGAUGCAGCGACGCCGCGUGAACGAAGAAGGCUUUCGAGUCGUAAAGUUCUUUUAUAUGGGAAGAUAAUGACGGUACCAUAAGAAAAAGCCCCGGCUAACUACGUG